GACAGGACGGAGCCAGAAAUGUCUUGGGAUCUGCAGGAGAAGACCAUGGUGCGUUUACUUCAAUUUAGCAUGCCGGUUCGCCCAGCUAUUCUACAUAUGCGGGAUUGAACAGACCAACAUGCUGGGGAGGUAAGCGCCAAAUGUCUUCAAAUUAUGAAGGCUAAUACAGCCCCUACGCAGAAGAUCCACCUACACUCUUUUGGGGGAACUGUGGAACAGGUCGUUGGCUAGUUAGAGGCAUUCCCUAACUGUUACUUUGGAUUUAGCGACAGAGUAACACAUUUCGACAAGUAUCAGGUUGCUGCCCUCCAAAGGGUCCCUGACAACAGACUUCUGCUGGAAACAGAUGCCGCUUACUUCAAAAAGAAUGCAGCCAAAGCAAGUACACCCAAUUUUCUGGGAGACAUUGGUGAUGUGGUCAGCAAACACAGAGGUACUUCAUUACCGGAAACAAUGAGGCUGACUACUCGCAAUGGUCAGGAUUUGUACUUUCUACAGGAUAAGGUUACAGAAAAGUUAAGCGUUAGCGGAGCUUUGUUUGUCCGACAUGUGAAUUUAAGGAAGUUGCUCAGCGUAAGCGGAGCAUUUAUUGUCAUUAUUAUAGACUAAAAGGAAAAAUGAUACCUCAACUUGAUGACUUUGAGCAGCGUUAGUCUGCCCUAAAAACUGGAAGUAUUCAAACCUAGGCCUUGUUCUAUAGAAUGGGAAGGAAUGUAGUACGGUACGGUACGGCACCGGAAAUAAGACAGGAAUUAGCGGCAUUGCAUGCGAAGCAGUUCAGUUCCAUGCUCGUUUCUUCUUGCAUCUAGAUCGUACGUUGAUCAGACUCAAGGCAUAUCCACCUACAGCAACGACUCAGAGUUCACUGGCCGGUUGCCAUUGUACGAAGAUUCACACAGCUUGUGGAGUUGAUUAUGUCUUCAUCAUACAGGGUAAAUCUUCUACGUAUAAAAUAACAAAGCAGUUGGAAGAGAUGCUGAAAUCCCCAGACUGUGAUCCAGAUGUUCGUGAUGCAGUCUACAAGGCUGUCCUUGAAGAUCACAAACCAAAACCCAGUCACAUAAAUAAUAACCUUGAUAAAGAAGACCCCUAAAACAAAGCCGUUCAUUAUGAACCUAACGUCUGUGACAGCGACAGUAACAAUAACAGUUAUAUCAAUUCAGAGGUAAUAACUAGAACUGUCUCACUCUCAGACAGUAAUACAAGUGUACCAUCACUGUUCUUUGUCUGAUUUGGAUCACAGACUGCAAAUGCAGAUAUCCCAGGAUAACUUCUGUUAUGAAGAUUUCCAUGUCAUGAUUGCAUUACAAUUAGUUAUUUUAUGUUUUUAGAAUAGGUGAUCUUUCAAAUAAGG